UGGGGAAUAUUGCACAAUGGGCGAAAGCCUGAUGCAGCAACGCCGCGUGAGCGAUGAAGGUCUUCGGAUCGUAAAGCUCUGUCCUCAAGGAAGAAUUUUGACGGUACUUGAGGAGGAAGCCCCGGCUAACUACGUGCCAGCAGCCGCGGUAAUACGUAGGGGGCUAGCGUUAUCCGGAAUUAUUGGGCGUAAAGGGUGCGUAGGCGGUCCUACAAGUCAGAGGUGAAAGGCUACGGCGCAACCGUAGUAAGCCUUUGAAACUGUAGGACUUGAGUGCAGGAGAGGAGAGUGGAAUUCCCAGUGUAGCGGUGAAAUGCGUAGAUAUUGGGAGGAACACCAGUUGCGAAGGCGGCUCUCUGGACUGUAACUGACGCUGAGGCACGAAAGCGUGGGGAGCGAACA
rnacentral:rRNA from 1 species